GCCCAACAGCUAGCCCACCUAAACAAUUUCAACAAACCCUUGUUAAUACCCCCUAAAUACCCUAGUAUUUAAAUUAAACAAACCAUUUUUCCCCCUUAGUAUAGGCGAUAGAAAAGGGACUACGGCGCAAUAGAGAAAGUACCGCAAGGGAACGCUGAAAGAGAAAUGAAACAACCCAGUAAAGCCUAAAAAAGCAGAGAUUUCCCCUCGUACCUUUUGCAUCAUGAUUUAGCGAGUGUACCCCAAGCAAAGAGCACUUUAGUUUGACGUCCCGAAACUACGUGAGCUACUCCAAGACAGCCUAUUAAUAGGGCACACCCGUCUCUGUUGCAAAAGAGUGGGGAGAGCUUUGAGUAGAGGUGACAAACCUACCGAACCUAGUAAUAGCUGGUUGCCCAAGAAAUGAAUAGAAGUUCAGCCUCUUGGCUUCUUUUUUCACCCUAGUUUAACCCCUAUUGAUGCAUUAAAGAAACCAAGAGAGUUAGUCAAAGGGGGUACAGCCCCUUUGAAUCAAGACACAACUUUAUCAGGAGGGU
rnacentral:rRNA from 1 species